UUGGACCUGAUAUCACACAAAAUUACCCGCUGAACUUAAGCAUAUCAAUAAG
rnacentral:rRNA from 1 species